AGUGUCCUACGGGGCGCAGCAGUGGGGAAUAUUGCACAAUGGGGGGAACCCUGAUGCAGCGACGCCGCGUGAAGGAAGAAGUAUUUCGGUAUGUAAACUUCUAUCAGCAGGGAAGAAAAAGGACGGUACCUGACUAAGAAGCCCCGGCUAACUACGUGCCAGCAGCCGCGGUAAUACGUAGGGGGCAAGCGUUAUCCGGAUUUACUGGGUGUAAAGUGAGCGUAGACGGCUGUGCAAGUCUGAAGUGAAAUGCCGGGGCCCAACCCCGGAACUGCUUUGGAAACUGUACAGCUAGAGUGCAGGAG
rnacentral:rRNA from 1 species